rnacentral:rRNA from 1 species
AAUGAACGCUGGCGGCAUGGAUUAGGCAUGCAAGUCGAACGGACUGUGUUUCGCAAGAGAUACAGUCAGUGGCGAAAGGGUGAGUAACACGUGAGCAACCUGCCCCCGAGUCCGGAAUAGCUCGCGGAAACGCGGAUUAAUGCCGGAUGCGGUUCUCCGCUGCAUGGCGGAGACACUAAAGUUUUUCGCUCGGGGAUGGGCUCGCGGCCCAUUAGCUGGUUGGCGGGGUAAUGGCCCACCAAGGCUAUGACGGGUAGGUGGUCUGAGAGGAUGGUCACCCACACUGGGACUGAGACACUGCCCAGACUCCUACGGGUGGCUG